rnacentral:hammerhead_ribozyme from 1 species
AUCUAGCUGACAAGUCUUAAAAUAGGACGAAACGCACGUCCUAUAU